GCUCCAAUGGCGCAAUGGUAGCGCGCGAGACUUCUAUUCUCUUCUCAGGUACGGAAGUCCAUCUCGAGGCUGUGGGUUCGAGUCCCACUUGGAGUG